GACGAACGCUGGCGGCGUGCCUAAUACAUGCAAGUCGAACGGAAAGGAACAGCCUGUGUGGGCAGCUCGAGUGGCGAACGGGCGAGUAACACGGAAGUAACCUGCCCUAGACUUUGGGUUAACUUGAGGAAACUAUGGCAAACACCGGCUAGUAGCUCCUACUGUUUGGUGUGGGUUGGAAAGUUUUGGCGGUUGGGGAGGGACUCGCGGCUAGUCAGUUUGUUGGUGGGGUAGUGGCUUACCAAGGUAUGGGCGGGUAGCCGGCCUGAGACGGUGACAGGCCACAUUGGGACUGGGAUGCGACCCAGACUGCUACGGGAGGCAGCAGUGGGGGAUAGUGCACGAUGGGCGGAGGCCUGGUACAGGAACGCCGCGUGCGGGAUGACGGCCUUCGGGUUAUAAACCGCGUUCGACUGUAACGAAGCGUGAGUGACGGUAAUGGAUAAAGAAGCACCGGCUAACUACGUG
rnacentral:rRNA from 1 species